AAAUGAACUUACAUAGAUGGCUUCUUUACAUGUUACGACAUACCGCAUUAUUGGAAUCAGGACUUCACAACGAGAGAACUUGCUUACAUGCUUAACUGCAUAUCCUAGAAAAAUAAUGUUCUGCCAUCUUUGGAGCUGUGUAACAUGAUCAUGCUAGCCUUUACUAAGAAGCUGCCAAAAUAACCGAACCGUGCUAAAGGCCAGUUCAAGGGAACUUCUUAGAGGACCACUGUAUUAUGCUGCAGCUAUUACUUUCACAUGCAUAAUGUAUUGGAGAACUUUGCCAGUUUUGAUUGCUGCAGUCAUAUGGCUGACGUUGUCGGAAGGAGAUUUGGUAGUACAAAAAAUACCUUACAACAAAAACAAGUCCAAAGCUAGAUCAAUUGCAAUGGCAUCUGCUGGAUUCUUAGCUUCUAUUGGGUAAAUUCUUGUGGACCUGUAUUACUUUCUUUUAAAUUUCCCUUCCACGUGAUAGCCUACUAUGUGUAUAUUUGG